GGGGAAAACACAAACAUGAACCAUCUCUCUCUUGACUUCAAGCUGUAGAUGGGUCGUCUUCUAUGAAGUAGGGAUGAGUCGGUCGCGACCGAUUCGUUCACAACAAACAAAUCCUGAUCGUGAACGACAAGAACUGGUUCCCCAAAACAAGAAGAACUGGCCUGAGUCAAAUGGAGAAGAAUCGCUUUGACAAAAUGAAAGAUCAUAUGAGAAGGCUCAGAUCCCGGCCCGACCACUCGGCUGUCCAGAAGACAUUGGAGGAAUUCUGCCUUCAAUACACGUUCCCUCAGUGUCCUGAGCCAAGAAGUAUCCGAGACAUGGAUCCUGCACAGAACACAGUUGAUGAUUUAAUGCUGAGGAUUUGUCAUCUUGAAAACGUUGGCAACAGUAAAGGUGUCUGUCUGUACACGGUGGACGGAAUGCCCCUGACGGAUGACCCCUUCUUCAACACGUGGUCUUUAAAAGACAGACAUAUCAAUGACAAAGACAAACUGUAUGCUAUAUUCACACCAAGGCAGAACCUAGUCAACAGUAUUGUGAUGAGAAACCCGACAGUGGAAGAAACCCCAGGAGAGGAUACGGUUUGGUGUCACAUAAUGCUUAAGAGAUGCCAGACAAUGAUGCGAUGUUCAGUAAUGAUGUUGAACCCUCGGUCCAACAAAGCACUAAAGGACUGAGUGUGUUCCUCUCCUCACUUUAUUCU
ensembl:lncRNA